GCUUGGAGUGGGAGGUAUUCGGGAAUGUGGAGUGACUCGGGAAUGUGGAGUGACUCUUGUCCCGUCUCAAACUUGUGUGCAGGCUUCGAAAAUGUGACUGUAUUUGCUAUAUUGCAGUGACGAGCGGGAGAGAUCUUGCGAGCACACAUCCACAUAGCAGGUCUUACACUUUGCGUUAGAUUGCCACCUUUUAGGGACAAGAACAAGGAUUGCAGGUUACUUCCAUGUUCCACUGGGCAUGUAUAUAAUCAGUGAUAUAAAUUCAACAUGCGUUCUUCAGCAGAUAGUGACAGAUCUGUAACCUCCAGUACAGGUUUUGAGAGGCUGGCUCCUGUAGUCUGUGUGUCAGUAAAUGGUAGAGUACAGGUUUUGAGAGUGUGGCAGGCUGUGUGUGUCAGUAAAUGGUAGUACAGGUUUUGAGAGGCUGCUCUAGUAUAGUCAGUGUGUGUCAGUAAAUGGUAGCACAGGUUUUGAGACGCUGUCUCCAGUACAGUCGGUGUGUGUCAGUAAAUGGUAGUACAGGUUUUGAGACGCUGUCUCCAGUACAGUCGGUGUGUGUCAGUAAAUGGUAAGAGUACAGGUUUUGAGAGUCUGGCUGCAGUACAGUCAGUGUGUAUCAGUGUACAUAACAGACUCCAGGAAGGGCCCUGUUGUUUCUGUGGGUGCUCCGCGUUCUCAGUACCUCAGCCCAGCCAGUGGUGUCAGGUUACCACGCUCAUGUGAGAUGAGAGGGAAAUCCUGUGGAUACUUCCUGUUCAAGCCCAGGGGAGGUGGUCUGAAAAGCAUGGGCGGGGUCCAGUAAAGGGGGGGGUGGGGGGCGGAGGGGGGGGGUGGUAUCCUGUUUCUUAUUUACACUCCCUCACCCUGUACUCUCUAACUAGUCUACUGGAGAGAGGUUGUUUUGGCACUAAAACAGAGAAUUCUCUUUUUAAUCUACCUCUCGUACUGAUGCCAGUAUUGAGAAAAGAAAAAAAAAAAAAGAGUGAGAGGAACGUUUCAGGAAACUGUUACCAUAGCAACCGAGCCCGAACAGCAAGAGCUGUGACGGCUCUCCCUCUGGUAGUUACGUCCAUUGCAGACUCAGUGCAAGGCUUAUUACUACAUCUGCUCUUUCAUAAGGCUCAGUGAAAGUAGAGUGAUUAAUUCAGCAGUUAAGUGGUAAAGAAGUGGUCACGUUUUUUUGCGUAGCGUAGUACAGCCCAUGCUACACCGCAGUUAAAAACAGGUAAACUGUAGACUGUGAGCUUCCUCUUUUGCAAGAGUAGAGUUAGUCACUGGGUUCCGUUUGGUCACAUGACUUCCUGUUGCAACAGACGGUCCGGCAGGUCAGACAAAGCCAAGAUCAAAUUGCACAUGAAUCAGACCCUUGAAAAAAAGUCAUCGCUGAACAACAGACGACAUAAUUCAAGACUCGCUGACUAAACAGGUCGGAAACAUGCUAGGCGCUUCAGCAAUAAAGCCAGACUCUGCGAGACAGGGGGCUACUGGCACAAUAAGAGGAAAUCUUGGGAGGCAACAUGGCCGCCUUUUCAGAUUUUGCUGCAAUCUUCCUCAGUCCACACUAGACUUACUCAGCAUCGAAUAGGCUGCAUCCUUUGCUCCGAAUUUCCAUAGUGCCGCCUCUCUGUUUUUGUCUUGUUUAAAGUACAGACGUCCUGUCCCUUCCUGUCACAAUUUGUACAGCAAACAGGACCAGUGUCCAACCUCCAAAGUUAAGGGUGGAAGACAUCCUUCAUUACUUGUGAAAUAACAGCUGUUCCAUUAGAGAAUGUGAAAUGUUAGAAGCUGCAGAUUCAAAUAUUUACUAUGAAUUGUUACAGAAGGUCACAUUGACUUUUAUACUGCUUAUAUAAUGUGUUGAACCUUCAUUACCUUUUGUUAAUUGGCUUUAUUUUUAAAAUUCAUAUUAGACCAACCUGAACUUUUGGGGGGAUGCUGUUGGUGAGCGGAUCCGUGAGAGUGGCC